UGAUUGGUGCCCUCUGCCCAUAUAACGUCGGGGUGUCCAGUGGUGGAGUCAGAUCGCCUCACCCACCGGCUCUGCACUGUCCCGCCUGCGCUCUGCCCUUCCGCUGACCAUCAUGAAGCUCCUGGCUGUCCUGCUGCUCGUGGCAGUGUCCACUGCCCUGGUCUCCGGCCAGACAACAUCUGCGGCUGGAUCCAUCUCUGGUUCCACUCCCAGUGCAGCUACUACUCCUGCUGCUCAGACAACACCUGCUUCUCCCGCCACCACCGCCCCAGCCGCUACC